GCAUACCUUCUCAUAGCUUAGCUUUCUGUUUAAGUUUCUCAGCUGUAAUGGAGUUUCGUUCCCUUCACUUUCUGGCUUUUCUUUCUGUGAUGGUGGUAGUAAUCCAUGCUUCUCUACCUGAUGAGGAUUACUGGAAGUUGGCUUUGCCUCACACUCCCAUGCCUAAAGCUAUACGAGAUCUGUUGCAGUCCAAAGGUCUAAGUUCUGUCGCUUCU